CGGACCGCUAGCUAGCUAGCUGUUCAGCUCAUUCUCUGUAAGCGAUGCAGGAUAAAAGCAUGGCGGAACCAGCAAGCCAACCAGCUGGUGUUAGUUAGCGAACGUUAGCUUGCUAACUCCGCCUUAACGUUACCCCCUCACCACAUCGUUAACAGAAAACGAGCCGAAAAAGCUGUCACUCGUGGCGAUGGCAGUGUGCUUUGUGUGGAGGAAGCAUGAAGUUAAUUUGACUCAUUUAGCGGCUGGCUCUCUGCCUCGUAACGUUACUACUCCACUGCUCGUUUUUCCGUCGUUAUUGUAAAACUUCAGCUCCGCGACUUGCCGGAUUAAAUAUCAGUUAAUAAUCAACUGUAAAGUAGCUACACCUUUUAAAGGAUCCCUUGGUAAAUCAGCCUCUGCCGGGUAUAAAGUGAAAUUGUAGAAAAGUGACUUUUGUGCAUGGACAAUUGAAACGUAAAUGUAAGUACAAUGUACAAGUGCCUCAAGAAGUUAAUGUAGAGCCCUGACUAAGUUAGCAUGAGUUAGUUCAUGCUUACAGCUGUUAACUAAUAAUGACUGUACCUAACUUUAGUUGUUUGCGGUCAAAACACCGUGAUGUAGACAGUUUGAUGUCGGGAUAUUCCUACAUUCAGCCAGGUUUAUUGUCAAUAACUUUUGACUGAGAUCAUCACUAACGCAGCCAUAUUCUGUAAUCUGACAGAAAUUAUUCACCCUCUUGUAAUUGAUAGCAGAUACAAAUAAUGCAUAAUGUAAUGUGCUAGAUUACAUCACCAACGUUAUUCUGCAGUGCAAAACCCAUACAGACAAACUGUAUUGAACAGAAUUCUGUGGCCCUGUGGUCAAAACAACAAUCAGCAGACCUCCCCUGGUAACUGACUGUCACUUUAUUCUGGAAGCUUGUUACACAACCAGAUGUAAACAACCAUUUUAUGAACUAAAUCAUGUGGCACUGCAUGAAUAGCUAACAGUUCUGGAGAGUAAAUGUAUGAAUACAUGUAGUUAUACUAAACUACUAAAAAAAUGUGUACAUAUACAUUACAAAAUAAGUGUUUUGUAAGGCCAUGAAAUGUACAAAAAAAAUAUUAUUUGAAACCUAACCAAUACAUUUCUUUCUUUUCAUCAGUCUAUUUAGGUUGACUGCAUACCGGCAAUUUACCCUUUGGGCCAGAGGGCAUUUGGGGAAGAAGAACCGGAUUCCGAUUCCAGCCUGUGUUGUUGGCUCCAUCAGGGCUGUUUUUCCAUCCCUGGAAUAUCAUGGUUUUGAAUAUGCAUAUGAUGAAUUUUAAGUUGCAUUCAAUGUUUGCCAUUAAAGAGGAUUUAUUGUAAUAUUUCAUCAAGUGGUUUAAUGGGCAUUUAAAUUAUAUUUAGUAGUUUUGAGAAGGAAUGUGAAUAUUUAACAGCAAUGCAGGUAAGUCAAGCUAGGUGGUUGAGGUACUGGCUCAGUAUACUGUGACCAUGGAUGUAAAGCCUUGUAUGUUUAAACAAUCACUCUAAUAGAGUAAAGACUAUAAUACACAUUUGAAAGUUUAACAUCAAAUAAUUAUUUUAUAGGCAUAGUGAUUAAAUGACAACAGCUUGUCUGACACUGAACUGUGCUCAGACUUGCACAAAUAAUGUACUUUAAAUAAUGGGAAAUUUACAAUGUAAAUCCAUAUAACUCAUUUAGAAAAAAAUGCUCUAAAUUAAUUAUAAUAUACAGUGUAAUCAUGGAACAAUUAAGGAAAUUAACAAUCAAGGAAAAAACAAUUUUGACAAGGAUAGUGUUAGUCACUUUAACAUGUUACUAAACUUUGUGUUUUUCUUUCUGCUCUUCCUCAGUCAGGGUUUGUUACUUUGUUACGGGACUGUGAGGAUGCAAAUCUGUUCAGAUGCAUGGCAACAGACACCGCUUUCUCUGGUUUUUCCACACCUUUGUGCUGGGCCAGCGUGAUAACAGUCUCUGUUUUCAGCUCCUGCAAUGUUGCCCGGAUGGAUGUCGACUUGCACCUAUUGAUCACUCCUGCCACUAUGUUCUUCCUGAAGGUAUAAUCCUUGUCCACCUUCAGUGGGGUCACAACAUACUGUUGAGCAGACUUGGAGUACUGGUGUUUAUGUUGCUCUUCACCUUCUUUUGUUUUAGCUGUCUUCCGGUCCACAUUACUGUUGUGAUCCAUAGCAGCAACCCGCAGACGUGCCUCCAAACUCUCCCUCAGAAAUUUCUUCCUCUUUGUGGCGUACUUCGUGUACAGGGAGUGAAGACUCUCUAGCUGUCCUGUGUGAAUGCCCAGUGUGGUUUUCUCCACUUUCUUCAGGAGCUGCUUGUCAAGCACUAUCUUCUGCAGUUGCUGAAAGGCAGCAGAGCUAGGGAGGAGCCAUGGACGCUGACUCUCUUCCUCAGGGGUGUAGGUACGGUGCUCACACCUGGUCAUUGUCUCACCAGAUACCCAAUGGUGCACAUUGGUAAUGUGAUGCAGGAUUGAGAUCCACUUGUCUUUCAACUUAGUCACACUUCCCUCACAUGUUGUGACACAAAACCAGAGGUGGUUUGUGAUCAUUCUGAUCCAUUCAAACACCUCUUCGUUGUGGCACUGCAGCAGUCGUUUUUUGACAGACUUAACAAUGUGCCAGAGGUCAUAUUCAUGCUGUAUAGAUUUAUAUUCCUGACGCAUGACUUUCUGCACUGAUGGGUGGCAGUCGGUUGCCAAAACAGAUAUGGUCACACCAUAUUCUCCCAACUUGGAAAGGCACCUUUCCAUACCAUCCACCUCAAGCCAAUAACUGUUCUUCACCUCUGUGACUUGAACAGUUUCCUGUGCCACCACCAACUUCGACUUGAUGUCCAGGAGUGAGUAGGUUCCAUAUGAGGCGUUGUGACCUGGACUGUCAUAUCUGGAGUCUCCUGACACGAUGAGCCGCUCAUCACCUAAGGCACUCAGUACAGCCUCAUUGUGUACUGUCCAGGUAUUGUUGACCUCUGGGAUGACAUAGGCCUUCUGUAUGUUGAACCACUGUCUUUUUGAGAUGGUUUCCAGACCAAUGGUGUCGCACACCUCCAUGAAUGGACUGCACUCAUUUCCAGUAACAAAUACAGCAGCAGGUACAGACACAUUGCAUUCCAUAAUUCCUCUAACUAAAGGCUGAGAAUGCCACAUAAAAUCAUGGCCAUCAAUGCAUUCUGUGUUGAUCCUAAGCCCAAAUCCACUUUUGGAGACUGUCGGUGGCCUCACCAAACAUUUGCCACAGCCUUCCCAAUGACACACAUGAAAGAGCUUCAACAAUUCUCCUGUCGACACAAUACUUUUUCGCUCUUGUGAGACAUUUGUUUCCUCAUCCUCAACAUCACUGAAACUUUGAUCCUCAUCACUGAUGCUUUCCUCUCUACCCAACUCAAACUCAUCUUCACUGCAAUUAUCUUGACUCUCUUCCAUUAAACUUUCUACCUCAGACUCUUCACAGCCCUCACUGCUAAGUUCCAGAUCUUGCUGAGAUGACAGUGCCGUAGCUGGGGAGAAGCCUUCCACAGAAGUGGAUCGGUCUGGGUGCUGACACUGACUGUGGAGAGGAUGUGGACACUGCCUAUCUCCUGCUCUAUCUCCUUACAGAUGUCAGCUUCUGGGAAAUUGCUACUGGCCACCAGACGUAUGCAUGUCUGCCUAACCUGUAAACACAUUUACUGUUUUUAGGUACCCAACUGAUAUUGACAGCCUUAUCAUGGAAUACUUUGUACUCACAUCCUGACUAUUGGUUUAAAGCAUAUAAAAGAUUCUUAUACUGAAA